rnacentral:rRNA from 1 species
CCUACGGGGGGCAGCAGUGGGGAAUUUUGGACAAUGGGGGCAACCCUGAUCCAGCCAUGCCGCGUGCGGGAAGAAGGCCUUCGGGUUGUAAACCGCUUUUGUCGGGGAAGAAAUCCUCUGGGCUAAUACCCCGGGGGGAUGACGGUACCCGGAGAAUAAGCACCGGCUAACUACGUGCCAGCAGCCGCGGUAAUACGUAGGGUGCAAGCGUUGAUCGGAAUUACCGCGGGUAAAUCUUGAAGAGAGGGCUGGAAUCCCCGGGCUCAACCUGGGAACUGCAUUUGUGACUGCAUAGCUGGAGUGCGGCAGAGGGGGAUGGAAUUCCGCGUGUAGCAGUGAAAUGCGUAGAUAUGCGGAGGAACACCGAUGGCGAAGGCAAUCCCCUGGGCCUGCACUGACGCUCAUGCACGAAAGCGUGGGGAGCAAACAGGAUUAGAUACCCCUGUAGUC